UCACAGAGAUCUGCGACGGAGCUGUGGCCCGGGUGCUGAAGUAGGUGACGGCCGGUUUGCGAGCCCGGCCUGGCCGAGCUGAGCGGCCGCGGGUCCUUGCACGCGUUCGCGGGCUCCGGGACGGGGGCUCCUGCGGCGAAGCCCCCUCCCCGGGGGGCCGGGGCCUGGGCAGGCUCCCGGCGGGGAGCGGCGGUGGCCGGGAAGGAUGCAUCAGAAGCUGCUGAAGAGCGCACACUACAUCGAGCUGGGCAGCUAUCAAUACUGGCCGGUCCUGGUGCCCCGCGGCAUUCGCCUCUACACCUACGAGCAGAUCCCCGUGUCCCUCAAGGACAACCCGUACAUCACCGACGGUUAUCGGGCCUACCUGCCCUCCAGGCUCUGCAUCAAAAGUUUGUUUAUUUUAUCUAAUGAGACGGUAAACAUCUGGAGUCAUUUGCUGGGUUUCUUUCUCUUCUUCACCCUGGGAAUAUAUGACAUGACGUCUGUAUUACCUUCGGCAAGUGCGUCCAGAGAAGAUUUUGUAAUUUGUUCUAUUUGUCUUUUCUGCUUCCAGGUCUGUAUGCUUUGCUCUGUGGGUUAUCAUCUUUUUUCUUGCCAUCGGUCAGAAAAAACCUGUCGAAGAUGGAUGGCAUUAGAUUAUGCAGGAAUUUCUAUUGGAAUUCUAGGCUGCUAUGUCUCAGGAGUAUUUUAUGCCUUUUAUUGUAAUAAUUAUUGGCGGCAGGUGUACUUGAUCACAGUGCUCGCUAUGAUCCUCGCAGUGUUCUUCGCGCAGAUUCACCCCAGUUACCUCACGCAGCAGUGGCAGAGGCUCCGCUCUAUCAUCUUUUGUUCUGUGUCUGGCUAUGGGGUGAUCCCUACUCUUCACUGGGUUUGGCUCAAUGGAGGAGUUGGUGCUCCUAUCGUACAGGACUUUGCAUCCCGUGUAAUUGUGAUGUAUGUGAUUGCUCUUCUUGCUUUCCUAUUCUACAUUUCUAAAGUUCCAGAACGGUACUUUCCAGGACAACUAAACUACCUCGGAUCAAGUCACCAAAUAUGGCAUAUCUUGGCAGUAGUGAUGCUAUAUUGGUGGCAUCAGUCCACAGUGUAUGUCAUGCAGUACAGACACAGCAAGCCUUGUCCUGACUAUGUUUCACAUUUGUGAAUCAGAAUCAGAAAUGAAGAAUCAGGGUCACACCUUACGCCAUCCCUCCUGGACAGAGUAACUGAUUGGAAGAUUGUGAUUGACUGGCAGAAGGGUAUACAACUCUCCAUUUGGCAGGAGUUAAUGCCAAGAAUCCAUCAGAAGUAUCUACUGUUUAGAAGGAAAUGGAGCAGCACCAAAUGGGUCUAAUUCAACUGGUUGGGACUGUUGGGACUGAUGUGGCGUGAUGCUUUGCACCACAAGUUCUGUAAAGGGCACGGCACCAAAGUCAUCCAUUUUCAACGCAUCGGCACUAUGGAAUGACCCAUGCAGCGAGUUCUGCCUUGGCCGCCCAGGCAGGACGGUAUUGUGAUCAGCACAGAUGUCACUCAGGCCUUGGUGUGACUGGUGCCACGGCAGGUCUGGAGGAUGGAAGGGCUUGGCACCAAAGGGGUCCAACAGACUCUCCUCAGAUUGUAGGACACUGCCUCUGUCUUUCCCAUCAUUCAGCGCCAUGCUAAUGUUCUCCUUGGAGUCUGAGAUGGUUAAAAACUCAUUGCUGCUUUGAGAGUCUCGGUGGCCCACUUUUUUGUGCCUGCGAGCCCUCUCUGGAGUGCGGUAGGUAGGCUUCAAAGUCUUCUUUGUGCUAGUUGGUGUGCCAUGGUGCCGCUUGCCAUUACUUUUGGACACAUCCUGCUUCGUGCGCCUUUGGCGAGAGGACAGUUUCUGUAAGCUGCGCUGUUUGACUUUUUGCUGCUGACUCCCAGUUAUUUCCUCAAAGGGCACAAGCCCAAAAAGGUCCUCUUUGCUUUCACUUUUAUUUGCAGAUGUGGGAAAGGGCUGAAAGGGAGUGGAGCCAAAUAUAUCUACACUUUUGGGACAACUGGUCAGAGUGUGUGCCUUGGGCCCCGCUACAGGGCAACCCUGUAUAUUUACUUUCUUGCCGAAGGGUGCCUUUGUGAAUACAUCAAACUCCUCUUGCUCUAGCCCUACAGUAGGAAAUGUCUGUUGAGAGAGGUUCUUUUCAUUCUCUCCUUGCUGGGAUUGUUGAGUGUGAACUGCAAAGAAGGGGACAGCGCCAAAUACAUCAAACUCCUGUUUGUGAGUGUCCACUCCAGCAUCAACGGCUAAGUGAACUGGAGUGAAGAUUGCUGCAAUAGGGUCUUGGGGUCCACUCCCCAGUUUGUCUCUGCAGACAGGACUCAUGCCACUGUACUUUGUUUUAGCCUGCUCAUAUUCAGAAUCCGAGCUAUGUUUUUCUUCUUCUUCGUCUUCAGAAUCCAUGAGGAGAGGCCUAUGACCCAGAUUUUCUGGUUCAGUAUCAUCAUCAUUAAAAUCUCCUUGUUCUCCCUGAAUUUCUUCAUCCUCUUGCUCUUCCUCUUCACUGCUCUUAGGAGAAGGGGGAUCCGAUUCAAAAUCACUUUCAGAGUCGUCAUUUCCCUUUUGCAUUCGAUCCUGUACUGACGAAUUCUCUGAAAUUUUCUUUCCAAUCUGCUGAUCUUUAGGUAUUGGACUUGCUUUACCAUUCCUAAUAGGGUAUGCAGUGUUAACAUCUUGAUUUGUGUUUAAAUGUUCAACUUUCUUUUCAGGAGAACCUGCAGGUUCAAAGGAAAAAUAUUAAAGCAUUCCAAUGUAUUUCAAAAUCUAUUUGCAUCAAACAUGGCAUUAUAUAUCCCUCAUACAUUUCCUCAAAAGAAGGUCAAUUCUUGUCAUUAUACUCUUAAGAGAUCUUAAGAGAUUAUCAGGUCCUUUAAUGCAGACAGACAUAAUCACCCCUGGACCCUACACCCUGCCUACUUUUCACAGACCCCCCUCAACAAAAUUUUAUUUAGAGCACUCUUCUCCCCACCCUCAAAGCACCAACUGCUUUCUCAGCUCCUACAUUCCCCAAGCAACCUUAUGCUUAUGUUUCAAAUCUAUUAAAUUUUUCCAAAAAGACAGAUUGGUAUGAAUAGCUUGUUUGCCUGGAUAGGUGUUACACUGAUUUUGUUAAAUCAGCAUUUUUCUUUUUGAAGUUAGGAUCUUUUAUGUAGAGUUUGCAUGAGGGCAUCCACAUCCUUGACAGUCUGUCAUAGCAGAGGACAGAUACUAGACAGAGACUGCACCAUAGACAUGUACCUUCUCUGGCUGACACACUGUCCAUUAACUAUAGCACUAUACUGUAAGACAUUAUAUUAAAGCAUAUGUAUUUUAACACAGAUCCCGCCAUCAGGCUAUUAUGUGACUGGCAAUAAAAUUACACUAAAGAAACAGUGCUUUGCAAUUUAUCUGGUAUAUAAUAAAUAUAGCACAUUAAUUUACAUGUAAAUUACUGCCUUCCCAAUACAUUGGUAUACUGGAUUGAUUUUUCCAGAAAUGAUAAUCAAUUUGUAUUGGCUCAUUCACACAAUUAUUAAUCCUUUCCCUUUAACUAAGAUGAAAUAUUUUCAAAACAAUUAACUGGGGCUAGAAGUAUAGUCUGUAGUUAAGAAAAUGAAUUAGGUUUUGAUGGAAGGACCAUUACUUUUCCAUUAUGAACAUGGUGGUCUCCAACAUAUGACUGCUUCAAGCUCUUGAAAAGUCAGCUUGUCUUCCUCCAACUCUGAUGGUAGUCUUUUUUUUAAAAACUAGUAUCUCUGGAAGGUACCAAUGACAAUACUGGCGACUGAAUCUAUGGCCUUCACACUGAGCUACAGGCCCAGCCCUCUUAUUUUUUAUUUUGAGACACUUUCACUAAACUGCUCAGUCUGGCCUUGAACUUGCAGUUCCCCCAUCUCAGCCUCCCAAAGUAGUGAGAUUACAGACAUGUACCACCAUGCCCAACCCUUAAAUUUGUUCUCCAGGGCUGCUGUCUUUCUCUGUGUCCUCUUCCCAGUCUACACUGAUUGCCAGGUUUAACCUGUAUCUUACACCUGAGUUCCAGACUCAGAUCUCUAAUACUCAGAAAUACUUACCCUACUGUAGCCUCAAACUCAGUAAUUCCAAAAGUGAUCAUCUUUCCUCUCAAAUGUGUUGUUUACCAGUUCCUUCUAAGUUAGUGGGCAGCAGAUCUACCUACGCAGGACCUCAGAUUGCCAGAUAUCAGAUCAUCUCAGUGUGGCGUUAGUCUGUUCAAUCUGUUUUCUCCCCUCCUUCCACUUAGCUGUUCAUUCCCUCAGUACCUCUCACCGUGUAUCUCAGCCUCAUAGUUGCCUCUCUGCCUCCUGACCCACAGUCCUCACACUCCUUUAACCAGAAUAAUUGUUCUGAAACGCUCUUUGUGCAGCUGGCUGCGUAAAAUCUUGUGGUUGUCUCAAGUCCCAGCCCACAGCAUACCACAGGGUGUGCUUCUGAAUUCUGUCCUGCAACAUCAGACCCUAGUAUCUCCCUCAAGGGUAUCCUUUAUUAUAGCCAUACCCAAAGACUCUGUCUUCAAACUCAGGAUUCUAAUAGCUGUCUGGCCUCUUCAUACUUGCUGUCAGUAACUCAGGAAUGGAAUAGAUUUGGGAAUCAAGAGACAGCUGCUAUCUUCUAUCUCCCCAGGGUAAUACGGCAGCUCAGUAAUGAAUGCCUUCUACCUUUCCUUGUCUACCUGAGUCUCUUGACUAGAGCAGUAUUUCAAGACCCAGAACUCUUCACAGCCACCAGUUUGAAAAAGUACCUAUUCUCUACAUGGUACUCCUGAUGAACCUAGUACAAACCUUCAUUGUAGAACCUAUACUCCAUAGUACCUGCAAAAGUUUCCUUGUCUCUUAUCAUUACUGUUUAUUACAUUUUCUUUUAUCAUUUCCCUCUAUUCCCAAGCAUUAUACUGAGUCAAUAUGAACCAAGUGACUACUCUGAGCUCACCAACUAUAUUCAGAAUAUAAAGUUACAAUGAAGAAAAAUAAAGUAUAUCUGGAGAUAUUUUUACCUCAGAA